rfam:Dipodomys ordii contig_20653, whole genome shotgun sequence.
GGGAAGCUGGCUCAGUGGUAGAGCGCUUGCCUUGCAUGCAUAAGUCCCUGGGUUCGAUUCCUAAGCACCACA